ensembl:lncRNA
AAAAAAAAAAAAAAAAAAAAAAGAAAAAAGAAAAAAAGAAAAAAAGAAAAAAAAAAGAAAAUAGAAAUAAAAAAGAGAAAAAAAAUGAAAAAAAGAAAAAAAAAAAGAAAAGAAAAAAACAGUAGAUGAAAAAAGAAAAAACAAAAGGAAAAACGAAUAAUGACAAGAGAAGAAAGGUAAAGAGAAAAGAAGAAAAAAGCCAAGUCAAAAAGUAAAGAAUAACUCGAAGGAAGGAGUGGAUGGCAAGAAAUACAGAGAAAGCAGUGCAUAGCACAGCAGAGCAAAGCAAGGCAAAAUAGCAGCCAAAGCCACGAGAAUCAAGAAGUCAGUGAAGAGCAGGAAAGGUAAGUUUCCCUUAAAGCAAGGGGGAAUGGUAGUGGAAGGGAGAAAAGAGAGGG